GACGUAGGGGGCGAGCGUUGUCCGGAAUUACUGGGCGUAAAGAGCACGUAGGCGGACUAUUAAGUCAGGUGUGAAAGACCGCAGCUCAACUGCGGGGUUGCACUUGAAACUGGUAGUCUUGAGGGCAGGAGAGGACAGUAGAAUUCCUGGUGUAGCGGUGAAAUGCGUAGAAAUCAGGAGGAAUACCAGUGGCGAAGGCGACUGUCUGGACUGACCCUGACGCUGAGGUGCGAAAGCGUGGGUAGCAAACAGG
rnacentral:rRNA from 1 species